rnacentral:rRNA from 1 species
AACGAACGCUGGCGGCAGGCCUAACACAUGCAAGUCGAGCGCCCCGCAAGGGGAGCGGCGCACGGGCGAGUAACGCGUGGGAACGUGCCUUUCGGUUCGGCACAACUCAGGGAAACUCGAGCUAACGCCGCAUACGCCCUUCGGGGGAAAGUUUAUCGCCGAAAGAUCGGCCCGCGUUGGAUUAGCUAGUUGGCGGGGUAAAGGCCCACCAAGGCGACGAUCCAUAGCUGGUCUGAGAGGAUGAUCAGCCACACUGGGACUGAGACACGGCCCAGACUCCUACGGGAGGCAGCAGUGGGGAAUUUUGGACAAUGGGCGCAAGCCUGAUCCAGCCAUGCCGCGUGAGUGAAGAAGGUCUUCGGAUUGUAAAACUCUUUCGUUGGGGACGAUAAUGACUGUACCCAAAGAAGAAGCCCCGGCUAACUUCGUGCCAGCCGCCGCCGUAA